UACGUAGGGUGCAAGCGUUGUCCGGAAUUAUUGGGCGUAAAGAGCUCGUAGGCGGUUUGUCGCGUCUGCUGUGAAAACUGGAGGCUCAACCUCCAGCCUGCAGUGGGUACGGGCAAACUAGAGUGCGGUAGGGGAGAUUGGGAAUUCCUGGUGUAGCGGUGGAAUGCGCAGAUAUCAGGAGGAACACCGAUGGCGAAGGCAGAUCUCUGGGCCGUAACUGACGCUGAGGAGCGAAAGCGUGGGGAGCGAACAGG
rnacentral:rRNA from 1 species